rnacentral:rRNA from 1 species
AUACGUAGGGGGCAAGCGUUGUCCGGAUUUACUGGGUGUAAAGGGCGCGUAGGCGGGUUAACAAGUCAGAGGUGAAAUCUCCCGGCUCAACUGGGAAACUGCCUUUGAAACUGUUAAUCUUGAGUACGGAAGAGAGAAGCGGAAUUCCAGGUGUAGUGGUGAAAUACGUAGAUAUCUGGAAGAACACCAGUUGCGAAGGCGGCUUCUUGGUCCGUUACUGACGCUGAGGCGCGAAAGCGUGGGGAGC